GCUUCUCUUGAGAGCGGCGGACGGGUGAGUAAUGCCUAGGAAUCUGCCUAGUGGUGGGGGAUAACGUUCGGAAACGGACGCUAAUACCGCAUACGUCCUACGGGAGAAAGCGGGGGAUCUUCGGACCUCGCGCCAUUAGAUGAGCCUAGGUCGGAUUAGCUAGUUGGUGAGGUAAUGGCUCACCAAGGCGACGAUCCGUAACUGGUCUGAGAGGAUGAUCAGUCACACUGGAACUGAGACACGGUCCAGACUCCUACGGGAGGCAGCAGUGGGGAAUAUUGGACAAUGGGCGAAAGCCUGAUCCAGCCAUGCCGCGUGUGUGAAGAAGGUCUUCGGAUUGUAAAGCACUUUAAGUUGGGAGGAAGGGUUGUAGAUUAAUACUCUGCAAUUUUGACGUUACCGACAGAAUAAGCACCGGCUAACUUCGUGCCAGCAGCCGCGGUAAUACGAAGGGUGCAAGCGUUAAUCGGAAUUACUGGGCGUAAAGCGCGCGUAGGUGGUUCGUUAAGUUGGAUGUGAAAGCCCCGGGCUCAACCUGGGAACUGCAUCCAAAACUGGCGAGCUAGAGUACGGUAGAGGGUAGUGGAAUUUCCUGUGUAGCGGUGAAAUGCGUAGAUAUAGGAAGGAACACCAGUGGCGAAGGCGACUACCUGGACUGAUACUGACACUGAGGUGCGAAAGCGUGGGGAGCAAACAGGAUUAGAUACCCUGGUAGUCCACGCCGUAAACGAUGUCAACUAGCCGUUGGAAUCCUUGAGAUUUUAGUGGCGCAGCUAACGCAUUAAGUUGACCGCCUGGGGAGUACGGCCGCAAGGUUAAAACUCAAAUGAAUUGACGGGGGCCCGCACAAGCGGUGG
rnacentral:rRNA from 1 species